rnacentral:rRNA from 1 species
UACGUAGGGGGCAAGCGUUGUCCGGAUUUAUUGGGCGUAAAGCGCUCGCAGGCGGCUCGAUGCGUCGUGCGUGAAACACCCCGGCUCAACUGGGGAGGGUCGUGCGAUACGGUCGGGCUGGAGGCCAGUAGGGGGAUGCGGAAUUCCGGGUGUAGUGGUGGAAUGCGUAGAGAUCCGGAGGAACACCAGCGGCGAAGGCGGCAUCCUGGACUGGUCCUGACGCUCAGGAGCGAAAGCCAGGGGAGCAAACGGG